UACCAUGCAAGUCGAGCGGUAGCACAAGGGAGCUUGCUCCCUGGGUGACGAGAGGCGNGACGGGUGAGUAAUGUCUGGGAAACUGCCUGAUGGAGGGGGAUAACUACUGGAAACGGUAGCUAAUACCGCAUAAUGUCGCAAGACCAAAGUGGGGGACCUUCGGGCCUCACACCAUCGGAUGUGCCCAGAUGGGAUUAGCUAGUAGGUGGGGUAAUGGCUCACCUAGGCGACGAUCCCUAGCUGGUCUGAGAGGAUGACCAGCCACACUGGAACUGAGACACGGUCCAGACUCCUACGGGAGGCAGCAGUGGGGAAUAUUGCACAAUGGGCGCAGGCCUGAUGCAGCCAUGCCGCGUGUGUGAAGAAGGCCUUAGGGUUGUAAAGCACUUUCAGCGAGGAGGAAGGGUGGUGUGUUAAUAGCACAUCACAUUGACGUUACUCGCAGAAGAAGCACCGGCUAACUCCGUGCCAGCAGCCGCGGUAAUACGGAGGGUGCAAGCGUUAAUCGGAAUUACUGGGCGUAAAGCGCACGCAGGCGGUUUGUUAAGUCAGAUGUGAAAUCCCCGAGCUUAACUUGGGAACUGCAUUUGAAACUGGCAAGCUAGAGUCUUGUAGAGGGGGGUAGAAUUCCAGGUGUAGCGGUGAAAUGCGUAGAGAUCUGGAGGAAUACCGGUGGCGAAGGCGGCCCCCUGGACAAAGACUGACGCUCA
rnacentral:rRNA from 1 species